UAACGAAUAUUGGACAAUGGGCGCAAGCCUGAUCCAGCGACGCCGCGUGCAGGAUGAAGUCCUUCGGGAUGUAAACUGCUGUCAGGGAUCACCAAGCAAUACCGGCCAAUACCCGGUUGCGUUGAGGACUCCCAGAGGAAGCCACGGCUAACUUCGUGCCAGCAGCCGCGGUAAGACGAAGGUGGCGAGCGUUGUUCGGAAUCACUGGGCUUAAAGAGCACGUAGGCGGUCUGUCAAGCGUCUUGUGAAAGCCCUCGGCUCAACCGGGGAAUUGCUUGGCGAACUGGCAGACUUGAGGCAGGUAGGGGCAGUUGGAACUCUUGGUGGAGCGGUGGAAUGCGUAGAUAUCAAGAGGAACGCCAGAGGCGAAGGCGAACUGCUGGGCCUGUCCUGACGCUGAGGUGCGAAAGCCAGGGGAGCGAACG
rnacentral:rRNA from 1 species